GCAACGGGUAGCCGGCCUGAGAGGGUGACCGGCCACACUGGGACUGAGAACGGCCCAGACUCCUACGGGAGGCAGCAGUGGGGAAUAUUGCACAAUGGGCGAAGCCUGAUGCAGCGACGCCGCGUGAGGGAUGACGGCCUUCGGGUUGUAAACCUCUUUCAGUAGGGAAGAAGCGAAAGUGACGGUACCUGCAGAAGAAGCACCGGCUAACUACGUGCCAGCAGCCGCCGGUAAUACA
rnacentral:rRNA from 1 species